GACGAACGCUGGCGGCGUGCUUAACACAUGCAAGUCGUACGGUAAGGCCCUUUCGGGGGUACACGAGUGGCGAACGGGUGAGUAACACGUGAGUAACCUGCCCACAACUUUGGGAUAACGCUAGGAAACUGGUGCUAAUACUGGAUAUGUGCUCCUGCUGCAUGGUGGGGGUUGGAAAGCUCCGGCGGUUGUGGAUGGCCUUGCGGCCUAUCAGCUUGUUGGUGGGGUAGUGGCCUACCAAGGCGGCGACGGGUAGCCGGCCUGAGAGGGUGACCGGCCACAUUGGGACUGAGAUACGGCCCAGACUCCUACGGGAGGCAGCAGUGGGGAAUAUUGCACAAUGGGCGCAAGCCUGAUGCAGCAACGCCGCGUGCGGGAUGACGGCCUUCGGGUUGUAAACCGCUUUCAGCAGGGACGAAGCUUUUUGUGACGGUACCUGCAGAAGAAGCACCGGCUAACUACGUG
rnacentral:rRNA from 1 species